UACGAAGGGGGCUAGCGUUGCUCGGAAUCACUGGGCGUAAAGGGCGCGUAGGCGGCCAAGUAAGUUGGGGGUGAAAGCCCGUGGCUCAACCACGGAAUUGCCUUUGAUACUGCUUGGCUUGAGACCGGAAGAGGUGAGUGGAACUGCGAGUGUAGAGGUGAAAUUCGUAGAUAUUCGCAAGAACACCAGUGGCGAAGGCGGCUCACUGGUCCGGAUCUGACGCUGAGGCGCGAAAGCGUGGGGAGCAAACAGG
rnacentral:rRNA from 1 species